UACGGAGGGUGCAAGCGUUAAUCGGAAUUACUGGGCGUAAAGCGUGCGUAGGUGGUUCGUUAAGUCCGUUGUGAAAGCCCCGAGCUCAACUUGGGAAUUGCAGUGGAUACUGGCGAGCUAGAGUGCGGUAGAGGAAGGUGGAAUUCCCGGUGUAGCGGUGAAAUGCGUAGAGAUCAGGAGGAACACCGGUGGCGAAGGCGGCCCACUGGGCUGUCACUGACGCUGAGGCGCGAAAGCUCGGGGAGCGAACGGG
rnacentral:rRNA from 1 species